rnacentral:rRNA from 1 species
AGACGUCUACAUUAGAUACCCCCGUAGUCCCAGCCGUAAACUAUGCGCGUUAGGUGUAUCGGUGACCACGAGUUACCGAGGUGCCGAAGGGAAACCGUGAAACGUGCCGCCUGGGAAGUACGGUCGCAAGGCUGAAACUUAAAGGAAUUGGCGGGGAGCACCACAACGGGUGGAGCCUGCGGUUUAAUUGGACUCAACGCCGGGAAGCUCACCGGAUAGGACAGCAGAAUGAUUGCCGGGCUGAAGACUCUGCAUGACUAGCUG